UUGUGCAGUUUGGAGACACUAUUUGGUGACACGAGCGUUCAUUUUCAUUACAGUAAAAAAUACUAAACAAUAUUAUUGUUAACCAGUAUCGUGUGGGCAAGAGUUGUGUUGACUAACUUCCGUAGCGGACAGUAUGAGUAUCAGUAUAUAGUCAUGAAUCAUGAUAAGUUUCAUCAAUGUCUAAACAAUCAAAUCCCGGGAGAAAGUCAGAACGUAUAGUAUUUUUGUUGGAGUGUAGUUAUUAAUCGUUCGUAACGGAAAAAAGUAGUGGUGCUAAUUGCUUACAUGUCUCAUUGGUCCGUUGUUGUGAGAAAUCAAAAAGUCCUUUUAAUUUCUGUUCGGCAGAAGACGGAAAAGAAAAACGUUUUAACUUGAUUUGUUGGAAAAUGAGUUGUUAAUGGCUUCCAUGGAAUUAUUUCGGAAUGCUGUUUCGCCGGCUGGUAUACACAGAGUGAAAUCGAAAGCAUUUGCGGUGUUGAUUGAUGGUGUUCAUACUGACAUAGUGCUGAUAGACUACAUGUAAGGUCAAUGUGAAACAUUACCCAGUAGUGAUAGAAUCAUUCCUUCACGUGAAUAUAGCAAAGCGAUGCGUAGCAUUGCUUUGCCCAGAUUUAAUUCUUCUUGCAUCAUUUCUCCCCAAUACUCUUCUGUCAUUGCGAUAUGAUGAUACUGAUGUUACAGAACGUCAGAAAAGCAUUGUUAUGAGUCAUUCCUUGUAAAGUGACCCAGUAUUCGAUGCCUGCCUAUCAUCCUUCUCUAGGUUUUGAAGAAAUUUUUUAGAAAAUAGGCUGUUUAAGAGAGUUUAAACUUCAGUUAAAUGCUAGAGCCGUUUUCAUAAGGCAUGCUGUUUUCAAAACUGGAAAAAGAUGACACUCUCAAGUUUGUCAAACCAUUGCUCCUGACGUAUUGGAACUAUGAUAUUUAAAGUUUUAAUCCUGAGAGAACGCGGGAAUAACCCAAAUGAACGUCAGUAAUGCCUGUUGCACAAUCUCUCUUCAAACUUGCUGAAAAAUUUUGUUGCUACAAAUAUUGUGCCUAUUUUAACAAAGUGCAUUCCAAACUUUCCUGCAAGUGUAUUCACUAUGCUAUGGACCUCUAAAGUUAUUAAAAAUAUUGGAUGUACCAAAUAUUGUCAAUAUUUGUUACCAUGUAUUUUAAAAUUGCCAGUGUUACCACUCAUUUUAUAAUCUGCUUACACCAUUGAAGAGUUGGCAUUUAAGCCCAUCAGAAACACCUGUUUUCAUUCUGAUGGCAACUCAGUUAAGGUGCAAAAGAAUUUUUUAGAACACUGUCCUUGGAAAAACACAGUGAUUGUUAUAUUAUAUUAAAAUUAUCUCAAUAAAAUGGUCUAGAUAGCAAUUAAGUUUUAUAUAUUUCACUUGGUGACUGGUUAUGGUCUCUUGUAAGAGUGUCCUCAGACUUUUAUUUUAUUUAUUUAUUUAUGUUAAAAGCUCUUUGUGACAGCAGCAUCUGGUGACAUGGAACACACACACUCUGAAAAGAAACAAGCUCUUCGUCGUAUUGACACAGUACAAGAAGUUGGGAUCAUUCAUUACUGUAUGUAAGGAGGCAUCUCGGACAAUUAAUGGUGUAGCAGAUGUUUACCAUGUUCGGACCAUUCAGGGUUGUGAAAAUGAA